CGGAGGGGCGUAGCGUUGUUCGGAAUUACUGGGCGUAAAGACGCACGUAGGCGGAUCGGAAAGUUGGGGGUGGAAUACCCGGGGCGUCAACCCCGGAACUGCCUUCAAAACUACCGGUCUGGAGUUCGAGAGAGGUGAGUGGAAUUCCGAGUGUAGAGGUGAAAUUCGUAGAUAUUCGGAGGAACACCAGUGGCGAAGGCGGCUCACUGGCUCGAUACUGACGCUGAGGUGCGAAAGCGUGGGGAGCAAACAGGAUU
rnacentral:rRNA from 1 species